rnacentral:misc_RNA from 1 species
UCCGGGGAUUUCCCGGCAGUCUCGUCAGAAAAGUACAACUGACGACGGGGGUUGCGCUCGUUGCGAGACUUAACCCAACACCUCACGGCACGAGCUGACGACGGCCGUGCAACACCUGUGCACGCUCCCCGAAGGGUCCCUCAUCUUUCGAAUCAGUACCACGUGCAUGUCAAGACCAGGUAAGGUUCUUCGCGUAUCAUCGAAUUAAACCACACGCUCCGCUGCUUGUGCGGGCCCCCGUCAAUUCCUUUGAGUUUUAGCCUUGCGGCCGUAGUCCCCAGGCGGAGUACUUAUCGCGUUAGCUUCGAGACUGAGGGGGUCGAUACCCCCAACCCCUAGUACUCAUCGUUUACGGCGUGGACUAC